rnacentral:ncRNA from 1 species
GCCUCUGGAGAAUCCCACAUGUGGGUGCCGAAGGGGCAAGACGAGCGCAGGCUGCAAGGCCGAGCCGCAUAAGCUUGACGAAGCUGCAGCGGCGAACCGCAUCGUUGAAACUCUCAGGCAAAAGGACAGAGAAGA